rnacentral:rRNA from 1 species
ACGGACCAAGGAGUCUAGCAUGUGUGCGAGUCAUUGAGUUUUAUAAAUUUUUAACAUUAAACUGAAAGGCGUAACGAAAGUGAAGCGAACGCUCGACGUUCGCUCAGGGAGGAUGAAAUUAUCGAGCUACGUUCGUGAUUUUCGCACUCCCGAGGCGUCUCGUUUCCAAUCAGUGAAUGAAGGCGCGCUCUGAGCACAAAUGCUGGGA